AGUGAACGCUGGCGGUAGGCCUAACACAUGCAAGUCGAACGGCAGCACAGUAAGAGCUUGCUCUUACGGGUGGCGAGUGGCGGACGGGUGAGGAAUACAUCGGAAUCUACUUUUUCGUGGGGGAUAACGUAGGGAAACUUACGCUAAUACCGCAUACGACCUACGGGUGAAAGCAGGGGAUCUUCGGACCUUGCGCGAUUGAAUGAGCCGCUGUCGGAUUAGCUAGUUGGCGGGGUAAAGGCCCACCAAGGCGACGAUCCGUAGCUGGUCUGAGAGGCUGAUCAGCCACACUAGAACUGAGACACGGUCAAGACUCCUACGGGAGGCAGCAGUGGGGAAUAUGGGGCAAUGGGCGCAAGCCUGAUCCAGCCAGACCGCGUGGGUGAAGAAGGCGUUCGGGUUGUAAAGCCCUUUUGUUGGGAAAGAAAAGCAGCAGGUUAAUACCACGCUGUUCUGACGGUACCCAAAGAAUAAGCACCGGCUAACUUCGUG
rnacentral:rRNA from 1 species